UCUUAGCCUAUAAUGGCUGCCUUCCUCUGAGCUCUCAUGACAUGGUGUCAGAAGUCUAAGUUUGAAUCCACAAACUUUUGAAAUGGUUCAUUUUCCUGCACCAGAAGCUUUCAGCUUUGACAAUCCUGCUGCUUGGCCAGAAUGGAAAGAAAGAUUUGCUUGCUUCAGACUAGCUACAAAGCUCCACAAAGAAGAAGGCAUUGUACAAACUAGCUGAGAGCAGCCCAGCAUGCAGGAUUCCUCGUCACCACAAUCAGCCCUGCUGCCACAGAGGUACCAGGAAAUCACUACAGGGACGGGAACUGAGUGCCCCAAACCAAGCCAUCCUAGACUGCCUCACAGUUCACAAGUCUCCUUAUUUUUCUUCAUGAAAAUAAUUUGUAGCCAACCGUAUCUCAAAAUCUUGGAUGAUAUAAAAUAUUAAUAUAAA